GAUGAACGCUAGCUACAGGCUUAACACAUGCAAGUCGAGGGGCAGCAUGGUCUUAGCUUGCUAAGGCCGAUGGCGACCGGCGCACGGGUGAGUAACACGUAUCCAACCUGCCGUCUACUCUUGGACAGCCUUCUGAAAGGAAGAUUAAUACAAGAUGGCAUCAUGAGUCCGCAUGUUCACAUGAUUAAAGGUAUUCCGGUAGACGAUGGGGAUGCGUUCCAUUAGAUAGUAGGCGGGGUAACGGCCCACCUAGUCUUCGAUGGAUAGGGGUUCUGAGAGGAAGGUCCCCCACAUUGGAACUGAGACACGGUCCAAACUCCUACGGGAGGCAGCAGUGAGGAAUAUUGGUCAAUGGGCGAGAGCCUGAACCAGCCAAGUAGCGUGAAGGAUGACUGCCCUAUGGGUUGUAAACUUCUUUUAUAAAGGAAUAAAGUCGGGUAUGCAUACCCGUUUGCAUGUACUUUAUGAAUAAGGAUCGGCUAACUCCGUGCCAGCAGCCGCGGUAAUACGGAGGAUCCGAGCGUUAUCCGGAUUUAUUGGGUUUAAAGGGAGCGUAGAUGGAUGUUUAAGUCAGUUGUGAAAGUUUGCGGCUCAACCGUAAAAUUGCAGUUGAUACUGGAUAUCUUGAGUGCAGUUGAGGCAGGCGGAAUUCGUGGUGUAGCGGUGAAAUGCUUAGAUAUCACGAAGAACUCCGAUUGCGAAGGCAGCCUGCUAAGCUGCAACUGACAUUGAGGCUCGAAAGUGUGGGUAUCAAACAGGAUUAGAUACCCUGGUAGUCCACACGGUAAACGAUGAAUACUCGCUGUUUGCGAUAUACAGCAAGCGGCCAAGCGAAAGCGUUAAGUAUUCCACCUGGGGAGUACGCCGGCAACGGUGAAACUCAAAGGAAUUGACGGGGGCCCGCACAAGCGGAGGAACAUGUGGUUUAAUUCGAUGAUACGCGAGGAACCUUACCCGGGCUUAAAUUGCAGAUGAAUUACGGUGAAAGCCGUAAGCCGCAAGGCAUCUGUGAAGGUGCUGCAUGGUUGUCGUCAGCUCGUGCCGUGAGGUGUCGGCUUAAGUGCCAUAACGAGCGCAACCCUUGUUGUCAGUUACUAACAGGUUCUGCUGAGGACUCUGACAAGACUGCCAUCGUAAGAUGUGAGGAAGGUGGGGAUGACGUCAAAUCAGCACGGCCCUUACGUCCGGGGCUACACACGUGUUACAAUGGGGGGUACAGAGGGCCGCUACCACGCGAGUGGAUGCCAAUCCCCAAAACCUCUCUCAGUUCGGACUGGAGUCUGCAACCCGACUCCACGAAGCUGGAUUCGCUAGUAAUCGCGCAUUCAGCCACGGCGCGGUGAAUACGUUUCCCGGGCCU
rnacentral:rRNA from 1 species